GCAACACAAGUCCCUGAACUUUUAGACAUUGACAAAUUGGUCCUUGACUUUACAAACUCGACAUAUUAGUCCUUUUGGUCACAGAUUGCCAAUUACAACAUUUUCCUAACAAACUCCCCCUUUGACAUUCUGUGACAAAAUUACACAAGACAGUCAAGGACACAAAAAAAAUGUAACUCCUAACGACCUAUUUAUUCAACCAAAGCAACUAUCUCCUGUUGAACC
rnacentral:lncRNA from 1 species